rnacentral:rRNA from 1 species
UACGGAGGGUGCAAGCGUUGUUCGGAUUUACUGGGCGUAAAGCGUGCGCAGGCGGUUCGUUGUGUCUGCUGUGAAAUCCCCGGGCUCAACCUGGGAAUGGCAGUGGAAACUGGCGAGCUUGAGGGUGGCAGAGGGGGGUGGAAUUCCGCGUGUAGCAGUGAAAUGCGUAGAGAUGCGGAGGAACACCGAUGGCGAAGGCAACCCCCUGGGCUGACACUGACGCUCAGGCACGAAAGCGUGGGGAGCAAACAGG